rnacentral:lncRNA from 1 species
AGGAGAAUCAACAUCCUGGCUUGGGAGGUUUCCCACCUCCUUUUCCCAGUCAGCUGCCGGAACUCCCAUGAGGACAGGCCGUGUUGGGGGCUGGACCCUGGCUCCAGCGUGGCCCCUCAGCUGCCUCCUCGGCUGCCUGCUCUCGUCUCACCCAUCCUGGUUGUGGGAUCACAGCAGCAGCUCACCCAGAGACUCAGAGUCACCCCUCAGCCUCCCUCACUCCAGGCCGGGUGGGCAUGGCUGUGCUGCCCCAGCCUGGGAGUGUGAGCCACAUCUUCCUCUUGGUCCAACCCUCCUUCCUCCUUGGCUGGCUAGAGGCUGAGGCUUCUCUCCACCUGAGCCUUGGGACACCCAUACCCGUGACAGGACAAGACGCGCUCACACUUGGAACAGGUGCAGCUGUGGCCAUGGAGUGCACCUGUCCAGUCCUCCCACCCCCACACCUGGGGCUUCAGAGAUGCGUCGGGGGAGGCUGGGUCUCCUGGGGCCCUCGGGCCUGGAGCUGCUGGCCAGCACCCCUGCUGCUACGUGCCUGAGAAAGGGAGUGUCCUGCUGCUGCUGCCCCUGAGGCCAGGGCAGACUGGGAGUCGUCCAUCUCACAGGGCUCUGAAGCUGGCAGGAACUUGAAAGUCGUGCCCAAGCCCCCAACGUUGGUCAGCGUGAUGGUCCGAGACGUGGUCUCUCCUACCACGUAGCUGCCGAAGUCAAUGAGCUCCUUGUCGAGGGACAGCUGCCAGAGGACAUGGAGUGAACUCAGGGCCACCGUGCCAGGCCCACAGGGUGCCCAGCGUGAGGCCUGCACGUGGCUCCAGGCAGGGCUGCCCUGAGCAUUUGUGCGCGUUGUGCACUGCACAAGCAGGUACACGAUUCAACCCAGAAAUCAGGUGUGUAUUGCUCAUGACAAGGUGUGGCACGCGAGUCUGGUUUUAAGAACAUCAAGGCAGGAGCCCCCUCGCCACGGAGUAACAAGGGUUCAGUGAGAGGACGCAGGGCCCGGAUGCAGGGCCUAAACAAGGAGCCUGGACACGGGGCUUUGGAGGUCCUGAGGAUGGAUGGUGUCAUUCCUGGGUGAGGUCAGCUGGACUCUGGAUACAGGGACCCAGGGAGCAUCCUUCCAGAACGGGAGCACGCCCUCCAUGGGGGUGCCUCACCAUGCCCGCUGUGGGCCACAGGCCACAGAAGCUCUGGUGCUGGCUAAGGAUGCAGGCCCGGGCCAUACCUCGGCUCUGCCCAAUGGCCCCUCCUCGGGAGGCUUUUCUGGGCUCUGAGUUUGGAGGCCCAGGGGCUCCCCACUCUGUGCUCCUGCUCCAGGGGCAGGACCAGGGGCCACCGACGCAAAUGGACGUGGUUCGCAGAGGGCGGUCGGGGUCCAGCCAAGGGAGGCCGCCUCCUUCCCGCCUGCACCGCCUGGGUCCUGUUCUCCCCUUGUUCAGAUGGGGUUUUACUGUUUUUACAGUCCCCAGCCUGGACGCUCCCCUGGGAGAAGCAAGCCCCUGCUCAGGGGAGCCGAGGGUCUCGGUGCUCCUGUCACAGAGGAGCACUUGACACUGCAAAGACCAAAUGCGGGAGAGGCCGGGGCAGCUCUGGCCAGGACACCUGGGGCCUCGCCGGGCACGUGCUCCAUGAUGCUGAUCCGGAGUGGAGCAGGCCAGUACCAGACUCCUGCCGGGCUCCCAGGCUGAGCAGGAGGGAGCCGGAGCCUGGCUGUCUGCGGGGGGGCGGGGGACUUCCUGCUGCCCCUGGCCCUGGUGCUCGGUGUCCUGGGCCUGAGUCUUGGCUCACCAAGAGCCCGCACAGCCGAGUGCCGGCCCAACCGUGACCGCUCUGAGGAGAAGGCGGCAGCCACAGGGCAAGGAGCUGCUCGGGUGCCCUAGGACGGCAGUGGUCCCUGCAUGAACCCAAGCGGGGCCACUUGAGUGCCAAGAGGAAGGGAGACUAAAGUGACUGGAACACACCAAAUACUCAAACACUGGUGAGCCUAUGAAGAAACUGAGAGGAAAACACUUCUCUCUCUGCCACCAUCGGUGACUCUCAUCCCAACCCCUCUCCACGGCGACACGCGGUGAAGGAGGAAGCACGCGACAGAGAAAGUUACACAGGUGCUCAUCAAAGGUGGCUUGGGGCCAGCGUGGCCUGGAUCACGGGUGACCAUGAGGGCGUCUGCUGAUCUUCCUGGGGUGGGGGACAUAGCGCGCCUCUGCCCUUCGCCUGCCCCGGCUUGUUCCUCCUCUAGUGUAAGAAUGGGCCUCUUCCUGCCCCGCUGACGCAGGCUCAGGCUGUGAGACUUGCCUUGACCUGAGAAUUCUUAGGAGAUAAUGACGUCCCCACUGUCCUCUGGGAGAUGCUCGUGCUGCCGUAGCUGCCACUCUGGAGUCCAGCCUGGACGGGGCUGGCCGCAGAGGGCUUCACACUCGCGGCUGAGCCAGGAGCCGUUUGCUGUGUGGCAGCACUGGUCCGAGUGCCCCACGUUCGAGACCCCACCUAAGGUUCGGCUCAGGCCCACCUGAGCUGCUGUUGGAAGAAGGGGCUCAG